GCGGGCGUAGCUCAAUGGCAGAGCGGAAGCCUUCCAAGCUUUCCACGAGGGUUCGAUUCCCUUCGCCCGCUCCA
rnacentral:tRNA from 1 species